rnacentral:rRNA from 1 species
GCUUUAUAUUAUUUAGGGAUUCAGUGUAGUUGUAGAAACUUAUUAACUACUUAGUAUUUGGUUGGGGUGACAGAGAAAUAACUAAACUUUCUUUUGAUAAAACAAAAAUUAUUGGGUAUAGGAUCCGUGUUUGACGAUUAUAAGAUUAAGU